rnacentral:rRNA from 1 species
AGUGAACGCUGGCGGCGUGCCUAAUACAUGCAAGUCGAACGGAGUGGCGCACGGGUGAGUAAUGUAUAGCUAAUCUGCCCUACACUAGAGGACAACAGUUGGAAACGGCUGCUAAUACUCUAUAGUGUAGGAUGAGGCUAUAUUGUAUCAGCUAGUUGGUGAGGUAAUGGCUCACUAAGGGUAUGACGCAUAACUGGUCUGAGAGGCUGAUCAGUGACACUUGAGAUGAGACACGGUCCAGACUCCUACGGGAAGCAGCAGUAGGGAAUAGUGCGCAAUGGGGGAAACCCUGAAGCAGCAAGGCCGCGUGGAGGAUGACAAUUUUGGGAGCGUAAACUCCUUUUGAUAGGGAAGCGGUACCUAACGAAUAAGCACCGGCUAACUCCGUGCCAGCAGCCGCGGUAAUAC